rnacentral:rRNA from 1 species
GCAGGUUGAAGCGCGGGUAAGACCGCGUGGAGGACCGAACCCACCUGGGUUGAAAACCGGGGGGAUGACCUGGGGCUAGGGGUGAAAGGCCAAUCAAAUUCCGUGAUAGCUGGUUCUCUCCGAAAUGCAUUUAGGUGCAGCGUCGGUCGAUUGCGUCGCGGGGGUAGAGCUACCGGAUGCUUGCGGGCCCUUGUUGGGUACCAACAGCAGCCAAACUCCGAAUACCGUUGACGUGUAUUCCGGCAGUGAGUCGGCGGGGGAUAAGCUCCGUCGUCGAGAGGGAGACAGCCCAGACCGUCGUCUAAGGUCCCGAAGCGUGUGCUAAGUGGGAAAGGAUGUGGAGUCGCAUAGACAGCCAGGAGGUUGGCUCAGAAGCAGCCAUCCUUGAAAGAGUGCGUAACAGCUCACUGGUCUAGUGGUUCCGCGCCGACAAUGUAGCGGGGCUCAAGCACACCACCGAAGACGCGGCAGCAAUCUUCAUGGUUGCUGGGUAGGAGAGCGUCCUGCGAGGGGCGAAGCGGCCGGGUAACCGUGCCGUGGACUUCGUGGGAGUGAGAAUGCAGACAUGAGUAGCGAGAGACGGGUGAGGAUCCCGUCCGCUGGAUGACCAAGGGUUCCGGGGCCACGUUCGUCGUCCCCGGGUGAGUCGGGUCCUAAGGCGAGGCCGACAGGCGUAGUCGAAUGGAUGAACGGGUGGAUAUUCCCGUACCGACCAUGGACCGGCAAAACCGAGACGGUGAGUACUAACCUCCGCCUCGUGGUGGUUCCUUCCUUCGGGUUGGUGUCGCCGCGUGGUGUUGGGACUGUAGCCGUAGUAGGUCAGCGCAGGGGUGACACGGAAUGGGAGCCGGCCGCGGAGGUGGUUUUCCGUGGUCAAGCACGCAGCCAGUCAUGUAGGCAAAUCCGCAUGGCGCGCAUGGCGAGGUGUGAUGAUGGGAGCCUUUUGGCUCGAUAUCCGGUUGUCCAGGCCGUCGAGAAAAGCCUCGGCGUGAGGGCCAUGGCCGCCCGUACCCCAAACCGACACUGGUGGUCAGGUAGAGAAUACCAAGGCGAUCGAGCGAAUCCUGGUCAAGGAACUCGGCAAAUCACUCCCGUGCCUUCGGUAUAAGGGAGACCCCCGGGCGUGAAGAGGCUUGCCCUCGGAGCGUUGGGGGGUGGCACAGACCAGGGGGUAGCGACUGUUUACCAAAAACACAGGUGCAUGCGAAGGCGCAAGCCGCUGUAUAUGCACUGACGCCUGCCCGGUGCCGGAAGGUUAAGAGGAUCCGUCAGCCCCUUUUGGGGUGAAGCGGUGAAUUCAAGCCCCGGUAAACGGCGGUGGUAACUAUAACCAUCCUAAGGUAGCGAAAUUCCUUGUCGGGUAAGUUCCGACCUGCACGAAUGGCGUAACGACUUCCCCACUGUCUCGACCAGGAGCUCGGCGAAAUUGCAGUACGAGUAAAGAUGCUCGUUAAGCGCAGAAGGACGAAAAGACCCCGGGACCUUUACUAUACCUUGGUAUUGGCGUUAGGCGCGGAUUGUGUAGCAUAGGCGGGAGGCUUCGAAGCAUGGGCGCCAGCCCGUGUGGAGCCGCAAGGUGAAAUACCGCUCUGUUCUCGUUUGACGUCUAACCUCGAACAGUCAUCCUGUUCAGGGACAGUGCCUGGCGGGUAGUUUAACUGGGGCGGUUGCCUCCCAAAGAGUAACGGAGGCGCUCAAAGGUCCGCUCAGCCCGGUUGGCAAUCGGGUGUCGAGUGUAAUCGCACAAGCGGGCUUGACUGCGAGGACGACGGUCCGAGCAGGGACGAAAGUCGGAGAUAGUGAUCCGGUGCCGGCGCACGGGCGCGGCAUCGCUCAACGGAUAAAAGGUACCCCGGGGAUAACAGGCUGAUCAUUCCCAAGAGUCCAUAUCGACGGGAUGGUUUGGCACCUCGAUGUCGGCUCGUCGCAUCCUGGGGCUGGAGCAGGUCCCAAGGGUUCGGCUGUUCGCCGAUUAAAGCGGCACGCGAGCUGGGUUCAGAACGUCGUGAGACAGUUUGGUCUCUAUCCUCUGCGCUCGUUGGAAUCCUGAGGAGGCCUGCCCAUAGUACGAGAGGACCUGGGUGGACGAACCUCUGGUAUGCCGGUUGUC